GGGGAGGCGAGACCGCGAGGUCGAGCCAAUCUUAAAAAGUUAGUCUCAGUUCAGAUUGUUCUCUGCAACUCGAGAACAUGAAGUUGGAAUCGCUAGUAAUCGCGGAUCAGCAUGCCGCGGUAAAUACGUUCCCGGGUCUUGUACACACCACCCGUCACGCCAUGGGAGUUGGUUCUGCCUGACGGCGUUGAGGUAACCCGCAAGGGAGCCUGGCGACCACGGUAGGGUCGGCGACUGGGGCGAAGUCGUAACAAGGUACC
rnacentral:rRNA from 1 species